rnacentral:snoRNA from 1 species
UAUUGUGAUGAUUUUUUAAUAUUCACACUGUACGAGAAAGUUUCUGCUUUCAUUGAUUAACAAACAAAAAUACUGAUUUAAUGACUCUGAUU